rnacentral:rRNA from 1 species
AGAACGAACGCUGGCGGCAUGCCUAACACAUGCAAGUCGAACGCUUCCGGGGCUUCGGUCGCGGAGGAGUGGCGCACGGGUGAGUAGCGCGUGGGAACCUGCCCUGUUGUGGGGGAUAACCGAGGGAAACUUCGGCUAAUACCGCAUACGCCCCGGGACUUGGUCUUCGGAUUAGGUCUGGGGGGAAAGAUUGAUCGCAGCAGGAGGGGCCCGCGUCGGAUUAGCUGGUUGGUGGGGUAACGGCUCACCAAGGCGAUGAUCCGUAGCUGGUCUGAGAGGAUGAUCAGCCACACUGGGACUGAGACACGGCCCAGACUCCUACGGGAGGCAGCAGUGGGGAAUAUUGGACAAUGGGGGCAACCCUGAUCCAGCAAUGCCGCGUGAGUGAUGAAGGCCUUAGGGUUGUAAAGCUCUUUCGCCCGCGACGAUGAUGACGGUAGCGGGAGAAGAAGCCCGGCUAACUUCGUGCCAGCAGCCGC